GGCGGAGGAGAAAGGGCCUGGGAGAGGCCUGCUCUUUUUAGAACAAGCUUAGUUAAUAGUUAAGAACCACUGAUUUAGAGCUUGUGUUAGAUGCUGGACUUUCAGGACGGAAGCCCGUCUCUGGGACAGCACUCCCCAGUCUGGUGACCGCGCCCAUAAACAAUGGUGGUAACCGUGGAGCCCCAAGGGAUAGGUUGGGGAACCUGGAGGAAGGGAGGGGCGGGAUGUACCGGGGACCUAGUGAGCCCGCCGUGGAACCUGACAGGUUUGUGGCAUCUUGAGAGGUACAGGGAAGAGGACACCAAGGGAAACCUGCACCCUGUGAGACCCACCAGGAGGGAUACAGCUCCAAGAGCUCGUAAACCCCCCUGAGACUGUGAAUUGUCCAUCAAGACCAGCGAGCAGGCUGAGCGGCGUCGAGGGGAGCCAGCUGCAGAGAAUAGAUUAGCUGGAGCAAGAUAGCUUGGUUGCUUAUGAACCACAAUUAACC
rnacentral:lncRNA from 1 species